GCUCAGAACGAACGCUGGCGGCGCGUCUUAAGCAUGCAAGUCGAACGGCAACCUACCUCGGGUAGGCUAGAGUGGCGGACUGGUGAGUAACGCGGUGGUGACCUGCCCUCGAGAUGGGGAUAGCCAUUAGAAAUAGUGGAUAAUACCGAAUACGCUUUUUUAACUGUGGUAGAAAAAGGAAAGGAGCUUAGGCUCCACUCGAGGAUGGGCCCGCGUCCCAUUAGCUAGUUGGUGAGGUAAAGCCCACCAAGGCGAUGAUGGGUAUCCGGCCUGAGAGGGUGAUCGGACACAUUGGGACUGAGAUACGGCCCAAACUCCUACGGGAGGCAGCAGCUAAGAAUAUUCCGCGAUGGACGAAAGUCUGACGGAGCGACGCCGCGUGAAAUGGUGAAGGCCGAAAGGUUGUAAAGUUCUUUUGUUGAUGAAGAAUAAUCGUUGUAGGGAAUGACAGCGAGAUGACGGUAAUCGAUGAAUAAGCCCCGGCUAACUACGUGCCAGCCGCCGC
rnacentral:rRNA from 1 species